rnacentral:tRNA from 1 species
GCCGAUGUAGCUCAGCUGGUAGAGCACUUCACUCGUAAUGAAGGGGUCAGCGGUUCGAGUCCGCUCAUCGGCU